UUUUAAAAAAGUGUUGCAAGAGAGUUUACACUUUGGUCAACUUGACCGAAUUUUAAGCGGGGGUUUUGAUUUUUCAUUGGGCGGAUGCUUUUUAGUACCAAAAUCUAACACCAAAACUCGCUCAUUUCUUUCACUCCAUCUUUUCAGUCGACUCUCUCUCACUCUCAGCUUGAAGACUCCACUGAGCUUGAAGGUUAAGGGUUCUCACAGUAAUUAAGCCGGCUAUUUGCUCAAUUGGGAUCAUUUGUUAAACUGGUAUAUGCUGGACGACACAAAAAAAAGUUCUGGACGACCAAAAAAAUUGUCUGGAUGAGAGAGGCAUAAAAAUGAAGCUGGAUGGUCCAGGACACGGUAUGCAAUACGUAGGUAAACGAGUUGAGGAGAUCACUGUCAGUCUCAAGUUCGAGCUCGACCUAAUAGUUCGGGAUCGAGCUCCAGUUCAAAGCUCGAAGUCCUCAGAUAGUUCAAACUUGACAAGACAUUGACAACUUGGUAGCACCAUCUGCAAGUUCGAGUUUGCAGACCAUCAGGAGCGUCUACUUUGCAUAUCAUCAACUUCAGCCUUUCAAAUCAAGUUAUUAUGGUAAAGGUGUUUAGAUGUUCUUCUGCAUUUCAAAGAAAGAGGCAUUAGCUCAUGGCCUUGCAUGUGGAACCACUCUUACAAGGUGCAACUUCCUGUGGACACUGCUCUCAACACAAGCUUGUUUACUGUGACAAAGUUGAAGAUGCUUUUCUUUCCUGUCUGUAAUUGGGAUUUAUCUUCUUGAGGAACAUCUUUUGAGUUUUGGGAGGGCAGAAGGUGCAGCAGAGACAAUAUCUUUCUCACUGCAAAAUAUGUACUGAUGCCUAAAGAUGUCCCCUUUACAAGAUAAACUCAUCUUUAUCAUCUCCCCUGAUGGCUCUACUUUCAUUUCACGGAUUCAGGUACAGUGCACGGUUAAGUGCCCAUAUUGACAAGAAGGAUGCAACUCAAUAUCCGGGCAAUGGAGGUGAUUUUGCAUUACCAAGAGUGCAGUAAAAUAAGCACCAACAUCAUUUAUGUAUGCAUAAGCUAAAUUCUAUUGUUGGUUAGAGUACCAUUUAAUAUCUUUGGGAAGUACUAUGCAUGGUUGCCUGGCGGUCUGGAAGAGUUUGUACUAAUCAGCUGAUUUGGUGGUCUGGAUGAGUUUCUAUUGAUCAGCUGAUUUGUAUAUUUUCAUACUAGAUUAUGUUUACCUUGUAUAUAUUUGUUUAUUAGCCCGGGACACCGGAUUUUUAACAUAUUUUUAGGUUGAAUCAAAUUCUUGAAAAUUAGUGGUAAGUUCAGACAUGCUCUACUUGUAUCCUUGUUUGGUAUAUAUGCUCUAUCUCACAUAAUUCUGAAUCCAAA